rnacentral:piRNA from 1 species
UCAGUGUGUCAGACACGAGGCCA